GUCCACGCCCUAAACGUUGAUUACUCGCUGUUGGCGAUACACUGUCAGCGGCUAAGCGAAAGCGUUAAGUAAUCCACCUGGGAAGUACGUCCGCAAGGAUGAAACUCAAAGGAAUUGACGGGGGCCCGCACAAGCGGAGGAGCAUGUGGUUUAAUUCGAUGAUACGCGAGGAACCUUACCUGGGCUUAAAUGUCAUUUGACCGGUGCCGAAAGGUGCCCUCCCUUCGGGGCAAAUGGCAAGGUGCUGCAUGGCUGUCGU
rnacentral:rRNA from 1 species